rnacentral:hammerhead_ribozyme from 1 species
AUCCAGCUGACGAGUCCCAAGUAGGACGUCAAGUGCGUCCUGGAU